rfam:Nitrosococcus halophilus Nc4, complete genome.
AGAGACGACUAGACAGCCGCGUUAUCUCUUGGGAUAGCGAGGAAAGUCCGGGCUCCACAGGGCAGGGUGCCAGGUAACGCCUGGGAGGCGUGAGCCUACGGAAAGUGCCGCAGAAAAUAUACCGCCUAAGCGCCUGCGGGUGCCGGUAAGGGUGAAAAGGUGCGGUAAGAGCGCACCGCGCGGGUGGCAACAUUCCGCGGCAGGGUAAACCCCACUCGGAGCAAGGCCAAAUAGAGGAACCAAGGUGUGGCCCGCACCGUUCCCGGGUAGGCCGCUUGAGAUGUACGGUGACGUGCAUCCUAGAUGAAUGGCUGUCCAUGACAGAACCCGGCUUAUCGGUCGUCUCAACCC